CUACGGGAGGCAGCAGUGAGGAAUUUUGCGCAAUGGGGGAAACCCUGACGCAGCAACGCCGCGUGAGCGAAGAAGGCCCUCGGGUCGUAAAGCUCUGUCAAGUGGGAAAAAGGCCUUUUGAUUAAUACCCAAAAGGUUUGAUGGUACCACUGGAGGAAGCACCGGCUAAUCCGUGCCAGCAGCCGCGGUAAUACGGAGGGUGCAAGCGUUGUUCGGAAUUACUGGGCGUAAAGGGCGUGCAGGCGGUUUGGCAAGUCAGAUGUGAAAGCCCUGGGCUUAACCCGGGAAGUGCAUUUGAAACUGCCUUUCUUGAGUAUGGGAGAGGAGAGUGGAAUUCCCAGUGUAGAGGUGAAAUUCGUAGAUAUUGGGAGGAACACCCGUGGCGAAGGCGACUCUCUGGACCAAUACUGACGCUGAGACGCGAAAGCGUGGGGAGCAAACAGGAUUAGAUACCCCGGUAGUC
rnacentral:rRNA from 1 species